rnacentral:rRNA from 1 species
UACAGAGGUGGCAAGCGUUGUUCGGAAUUACUGGGCGUAAAGGGCGCGUAGGCGGUCUUGCAAGUCCUGUGUGAAAUCCCUCGGCUCAACUGAGGAACUGCACAGGAAACUGCUUGGCUUGAGUUCGGGAGAGGGAAGCGGAAUUCCAGGUGUAGCGGUGAAAUGCGUAGAUAUCUGGAGGAACACCGGUGGCGAAGGCGGCAUUCUGGACCAAUAUUGACGCUGAGGAGCGAAAGCCAGGGGAGCAAACGGG